UCACCUGCCCCUGGAAUUACAGGUUUCUGUCGCCGUGGCUGUUUCCUUGUUUCUUCCAGGUGGUAAAAUAUCAGAUAACAGUAACUGUCCUUUCCCCAGGGGUGGGAUUGCUUUUUCCUUGAGUCAGGGUUUCACUGUGUAGCCCUGGCUGUCCUGGAACUCACCAGGAUGGCCCCAAACUCAGAGAUUUGCCUGUCUCUGCCUCCCAAGUGCUGGGAUUAAAGGCAUGUGCCAUCACUGCCUGACCAGUUGUGGAAUCUUUGUAGACUCUUUCUGAUGUGGGAGUGAUUUCUUAUUAAUAAAGAAACUGCCUCGGCCCUCAUAGGACAGAAAAUUAGGUAGGCGGAGUAGACAGAAGAGAAUUCUGGGAAAAAGAAGCUGAGAGAGAGUCGCCAUGAUUCUCCCGCUCCAGACAGACGCAGGUUAAGAUCCUCCCUGAACUCUGAAAGAACCAAUUUCUACUGCUUUGAGUCACAAAUGUGGUUUGGCGUUAGACACGGGAACGGAAUAGAAGUCGAAAGAGUAAAUGAUUCUUCACGCGGGAGAUGGCAGGCGAGAACUGUCACUCUAGAACAGAUGAAACGCCUGCUGAGUGUCCUCUGUGAGACCUCAGGUCCACAGUGAUGAAGAACACAGACAUGCAGCUUCUAACCUCAGAAAGCAGGUGUUUGGGUGUAAAGAGGGGGAUCAGGAACCUUGAAGAGCCACCGUCUGUAGAGACGUGCAAACUAGAGAAGGAGGUUUCCAAGGAAACAAACAACAGAGGGCCUGACCUUGGCAGCCUUUGUGGUAGUGGAAAAAGACUGAGGACAAGUGGUUAGCAAGGUGGAGGUGGCUCAGGCCAGAAAACUGCACUUGCAAAAGAGCCCACAGAAUGAGCUACAAGGGCCGUGCCACGGACAGUGCUUAGCCAUGAACUUAGUGAGUUCUUACAAAUGUCUCUGACCCAGAAGCUGUGGGGACGCCACUGAAGAACUCUAAAACUUUCUUUUUAACCUUUAUUUUUAUGUGUGUGGAUGUUUUGCCUGCAUUUAUGUCUGUGCACCAUGUGGGCCUGCAGAAGCCAAAGGAGACCUUGGAUCCCCUGGAACUGGAGUAAUAGACAGUUGUGAGCCACCAUGUAGAUUCUAGAAGUUGAACCAGGGUCCUCUGGAAGAGCAACCAGUGCUCUUAACUGCCAGCUGAGCCAUCUCUCCAGCUCGCUGGUGAACUUUAAAUCGGGUAACGUCAUGACCUCCUGUGAAGUAUCUUUUCCCUCACACAUUAAACACAUUUGAUUGCCAUACAGCCCUGUAGAGAUGCUAUCUGUCUAGCAUCCCAGACCCAGCGGUCCCUAUCACCCGCCCUUCUUUCUCCCUACCAGCAGAUGCCUAUCUACACCCACACUGA